GGAGAGGUGGCAGAGUUGGUCGAUCGCUUCUGAUUUGAAAUCAGACGAACUUCAAUAAGUUCCGUGGGUUCGAAUCCCACCCUCUCCA
rnacentral:tRNA from 1 species